ACGCUGGCUACAGGCUUAACACAUGCUAGUCGAGGGGAAACGACGGGGAAGCUUGCUUCCCCGGGCGUCGACCGGCGCACGGGUGAGUAACGCGUAUCCAACCUGCCUCUGACUGAGGGAUAACCCGUCGAAAGUCGGCCUAAUACCUCAUGGCAUCGUCUGCGGGCAUCCAACGACGAUUAAAGAUUUCAUCGGUCAGGGAUGGGGAUGCGUCUGAUUAGCUUGUUGGCGGGGUAACGGCCCACCAAGGCGACGAUCAGUAGGGGUUCUGAGAGGAAGGUCCCCCACAUUGGAACUGAGACACGGUCCAAACUCCUACGGGAGGCAGCAGUGAGGAAUAUUGGUCAAUGGGCGAGAGCCUGAACCAGCCAAGUAGCGUGCAGGAAGACGGCCCUAUGGGUUGUAAACUGCUUUUAUGCGGGGAUAAAGUGAGGGACGUGUCCUUCAUUGCAGGUACCGCAUGAAUAAGGACCGGCUAAUUCCGUGCCAGCAGCCGCGGUAAUACGGAAGGUCCGGGCGUUAUCCGGAUUUAUUGGGUUUAAAGGGAGCGUAGGCCGUGGAUUAAGCGUGUUGUGAAAUGCAGGUGCUCAACGUCUGCACUGCAACGCGAACUGGUCCACUAGAGUGUGCACAACGCAGGCGGAAUUCGUCGUGUAGCGGUGAAAUGCUUAGAUAUGACGAAGAACUCCGAUUGCGAAGGCAGCUUGCGGGAGCACAACUGACGCUGAAGCUCGAAAGUGCGGGUAUCGAACAGGAUUAGAUACCCUGGUAGUCCGCACGGUAAACGAUGGAUGCCCGUUGUCAGGCUGUUUCAGCCUGGUGACCAAGCGAAAGCAUUAAGCAUCCCACCUGGGGAGUACGCCGGCAACGGUGAAACUCAAGGAAUUGACGGGGGCCCGCA
rnacentral:rRNA from 1 species